rnacentral:lncRNA from 1 species
UCCUAGUUCAUGGAGUCUUUAGAUUUUAUAAAGGGAGGUUUAGGGCUAUCUUAUCUUGUCGGGCCAAGAGAAAGGAUGAUGAAGAAAAACUUAGGGCUACCGAUAGAUUUUUUAUAGGAGUAGGUCGAUUCAAUUCUUUGAUGACCUUUUUUUAUUCUAUAUAGUGGAGUAUGGUGAUGGGCCGUGAGGUAUCAUAUUAAGAGCUACAGUUUUGAUGCCGGACUUAAGAGUAAUGGAUUGGACAAUACCGACAAUAAUGAUGAAGUUGGUGGAGGCCAUAAAGGAGAUAUUGUGCAUCAUCGAAAAACAGUACAUUGGGCUAUACUGAAAAUGCAAUCACACCGAUUUAAGUGAAG